CUGUGCCCAGUACUGCUGUGGUGACCUGGCUUUGUCAGUGAGUUCAUGGAUCCAGGGUCACAUGGGCAGAGGUAUAUAAAUAUCGUAGGUGGGUUAUUGCUACCUGGGUUCAGAUAUAGAUUGGCAUCUCUGGGCUUAUUAGGUGAAAUAAGUGGGGCAAGAUCUAGCCUAGAAAUGCAUAUUUGGUGUGGCUGGUGAGGCCAGAGAAGGUGGGUCAGACACAGGUGGGACCUUCAGUGGGAGGAUCAGGCAUGGUUAGGUGGGUAGCAUGGGCUGUCCUCAAGAGAAAGCCAGAGUCAUUGUUGGUAUGUGUACCUGGGUCUGCCUGGGGAGGUCUGGAGAGCCCUUUGGAUCAAGUGCGACCAGUAGUAUGUUCCUGAGCCAGGUCAACCACCUGUACUCAGCACCUGGUCAGAUGUGAUGGGCAGAGCUCAGGGUGUUGCAGAGACCUGAGGACCUAUAACCAGUCCAAGGUGUGGUCUUUAGCAUUGGGGUCUGAUCGGCAUAGGGUCUGCGUUACCCAGGUGAGGAAACAGAUAGGGUUAUACAUGGUUAGAUAAAGUGAGGUCUGGGUACCGGGGCAGGUGAAGCGUGGAACAGUGAACUGACUGAGGAGCUACAUCUAGGAGCUAUGGUCUGAGAGGCCCACUACAGGGAGAGGUGAGGUCUGGAGACCUGUGUCUGCAGGUUGAGGUCUCAGAGAGUCAAAUCAGACACUGGCGUUGCUGGGCUCUCCCCAGAUUGAGGUCUGAGGACCUGACCUUAGCCCAGGUCAGCAGCCUGGAAUCUAUCGGUCUGAGGGCUGACUGCGCAGUCCAGUUUCUAGAAUUGAAUCUGUUAGGUGAUGUCUGAGAGCCUGUGUCCGGCAUGGUGUGGCCUGCAGGACUGUGUCCAUCAGGUAAGGUUCGCCAAAACCCGAAGGACCCCACUGUUCAUCUCAUUACCUAAGCCGGAAGCCUCUGGGCCACACUUGGUUCUCAGUCUUGCAAUUCAUUCUGUUUGUUGAACGUCCGUUGAAUCAGUCUUUUGCACUACCUUGUCCAGGGCAGUGUCAUUCUCUGGACGACCACUGGGGGCCCCUACAUGGUUUCCUGCUUCCAUUAUCUCUAUAUCUACAGAAGUCUCGGUUCUCCAGUUUUGCCUCUCAACUUCUACCCUUCAGUCCUCACUCCUUCCUUCAUCUUCUAGCUUGUGCUGUGCUUCCUGCCGCCCAGCUUGUCUCGCUGGGCUUCCAGUAGAGAAUUAAGCACUAAUGUCCCAAGGCAUCCAUUGGAUGUAAUGAAUUAGCAUCUCUCCUUUGCAUCUAGAAGGGUACUCCCCUUGGACCAGCAUGGGAGAAUUGAAAAGUUAAGUCACUCAAAGCAUUUUCCGUGGGGCUUAAUUCUCUCACUUUUGACAAAGGUGGCCCUUCCUUUGCAUAUGCUGUCCUGGCUGCUGGAAUGCUUUUCUCUCAGUGCCUCCCUGGGUAACGCCUGCUCUUUCUUCAGGUCCAGGCCCAGGCACCCUUCAGAUUCUUUUUGUAAUUGGUGUCAGUAUUGUAUUUCCUUUCUCCAAAGCACUUGUCUUAUUUGCAUAUUUAUUGGCAUGAUUGUUUCCUUUACAUCUUUCUCCCCAAGGACGGUUUCCAUUACCUGUGCUAGGAACAUGCUAGGUGCUCCAUAAAUAGUUGUUAGGAAGAUGGGAAUGGAGUUCCGAGGAUUUUGAUGAUACAAAGUGGAAUCUGCAAGUGUGGCACGCGAAGGCACAGUGUGAAGGUAGGCCUAGGUAUAUCUUGGGGCUGAGACUGAGAAGACUGGUCAAGCCCAGGUAUGAGCCACUGGGCCUGUCAGUGUCCCGGGAGGCAGGGCUAGGUACAGGUAUGAGGCACGGGGUCUGUAGUACAGCCUGAGAAGUCAGGAAUGGGCACUGGAUAUGUCAGUAUCAGAAGGGGCAAGGCCAGGCCAAGGUAUGAGGCAUUGCGUCUAUUGGUGUCUGAGGAGGAGAGGCCAGGCCAGGUAGGAGGUGUUGGGUCUUUCAUUGUUCAAGGAAGCAUGCUUGGGCACAGGUAUGAGGCACUGGGCCUGUUGCUGAGGACAUAGGACCUGGCACAGGUAUGAGGCACUGGGACUGUCAGUGUCCAAGGAGGCAGGGCCAGGCACAGGUAUGAGAUUCUUAUCUGUCAAUGUCCAUGUAUGUGGGCUAGGCACAGGUAUGGGAAGCUGGGUCUGUCAGUGUUCAAAGAGGCCUGACAUAGGUAUGAGGCACUGGGUCUGUUGUGUUCCACAAGGCACGACCAGACACAGGUAGGAGGCGCUAGGUCUGUCACUGUCUGAGGAGGCCAGGCCUGGCACAGGUAUGACAUGCUGAGUUGGUCAGUGUUUGAAGAGGCCAGGCACAGGUAUGAAACACUGGAUCUGUCUCUGUCUGAGGAAGCUGGACCUGGCACAGGUAUGAGGCACUGGGUCUGUCAGUGUUUGAAGAGGCCAGGCACAGGUAUGAGGUGCUGGAUCUGUCAGUGUUUGAAGAGGCUGGGCACAGGUAUGAAGUGCUGAGUCUGUCAGUGUGUGAGGAAGCUGGACCUGGCACAGGUAUGAGGCACUGGGUCUGUCGGUGUCUGAGGAGAUGGGCCUGGUACCAGGUAUGAGGCACUGGGUCUGUUGGUGUCUGAGGAAGUGGGGCCUGGCACCAGGUAUGAGGCACUGGGUCUGUCAGUGUCUGAGGAGGUGGGGCCUGGUACCAGGUAUGAGGCACUGGGUCUGUCGGCAUCUGAGGAAGGGGGGCCUGGUACCAGGUAUGAGGCACUGGGUCUGUCAGUGUGUGAGGAAGUGGGGCCUGGCACCAGGUAUGAGGCACUGGGUCUGUCAGUGUCUGAGGAGGUGGGGCCUGGUACCAGGUAUGAGGCACUUGGUCUGUUGGUGUCUGAGGAAGGGGGAUCUGGUAUUAGGUAUGAGGCACUUGGUCUGUUGGUGUCUGAUGAAGUAGGGCCGGUACCAGGUAUGAGGCACUGGGUCUGUCGGUGUCUGAGAAGAUGGGCCCAGUACCAGGUAUGAGGCACUGGGUCUGUCAGUGUCUGAGGAGGUGGGGCCUGGUACCAGGUAUGAGGCACUGGGUCUGUCGGCAUCUGAGGAAGGGGGGCCUGGUACCAGGUAUGAGACUCUGGGUCUGUCACUGUCUGAGGAGAUGGGCCCGGUACCAGGUAUGAGGCACUGGGUCUGUCGGUGUCUGAGGAGAUGGGCCUGGUACCAGGUAUGAGGCACUUGGUCUGUCGGUGUCUGAGGAGAUGGGCCCAGUACCAGGUAUGAGGCACUUGGUCUGUCGGUGUCUGAGGAGAUGGGCCCAGUACCAGGUAUGAGGCACUGGGUCUGUCGGUGUCUGAGGAGAUGGGCCCAGUACCAGGUAUGAGGCACUGGGUCUGUCGGGGGUCUGAGGAGAUGGGCCCAGUACCAGGUAUGAGGCACUGGGUCUGUCGGUGUUUGAGGAGAUGGGCCCACUACCAGGUAUGAGACACUGGGUCUGUCGGUGUCUGAGGAGAUGGGCCCGGUACCAGGUAUGAGGCACUGGGUCUGUCGGUGUCUGAGGAGGUGGGGCCGGUACCAGGUAUGAGGCACUGGGUCUGUCAGCAUCUGAGGAAGGGGGGCCUGGUACCAAGUGUGAGGCACUGGGUCUGUCAGCAUCUGAGGAAGGGGGGCCUGGUACCAGGUAUGAGGCACUGGGUCUGUCGGCAUCUGAGGAAGGGGGACCUGGUAAUAGGUAUGAGGCACUGGGUCUGUCGGCAUCUGAGGAAGGGGGACCUGGUACCAGGUAUGAGGCUCUGGGUCUGUCAGCAUCUGAGGAAGGGGGGCCUGGUACCAGGUAUGAGGCUCUGGGUCUGUCAGUGUCUGAGGAGAUGAGCCCAGCACGAGGUACGAGGCAUUGGGUCUGUCCGUGUCUGAGGAGACAGGGCCAGCCAUGGUAAGGUCUUCGGUUGAGUCUUGUGGCUCUGACUGGUCCCAUGCAUAGUUUGCCCUGUUGGUCAGCCCAGAGAGCUGCCAGCGCCUGGCCUGCUGUCUUGCUUCUCAGAGGUGGGUUGGGCCCAGGCCCUCCAAGCUGCACCUGUGGACGAGCAUUGCUCUCGGGGGGCAAGUUGUGGCAGGAGGGAGGGGGGCGGGGUGUGCCAACC